CAUAUCAUCAAGCUUAACAUAAACUACUCGUUUAGCUUUUAACAAAUCACUUGUCAAUACUGUGACUGACUGAGCUGGCAAUAGUCUCACUUAGGACAGGACUUGCUUAUUUGAGGGAUCGACCUUGAUUACUACUUAAAAAGACCAAAGCAGAGGAGUUAUCAGGUUCAUGAUAUGAUGCACAUCUACAUCUUACGGUUUUUCCAGUACACACAAGAUAUACCAUGCAAAGUUGAAAGUGGAUAAAAUAGGAGAACCCAAAAUCUGAUCACGAAUCGAUGAAUAUUUUAUAGAAAGGGCCGCUGGAAAGCCGCAAGGUGAGGAUGGCAGUCUGGAAGUUGUAGAAAGUCCCCCUGGAAAGGUUGCAGAAAGAGCCAUUGGAAAGCCGCAAGUGGGGGGAAAUGAUGAUAUUGCAAAAAGUUUAGAAUUUUACAUGAGCUUUACUGCAGCGCUAUCUGACCACUAUCAGUAGUGCUACUCUAAACUUCAAUGCAAAAUGGGGUUUCGUCGUGUCGCACCCAUGAGCCAAUGUUGACUACACGGAUCAAUGUGUUCAAUUAGAUCCCUUGAUUAUUGGGAUAAAAUCAAAUCGCACAUCAGAUCCAAAAUAUCCUAUUUACCGUAGAAAUAUCUCAACAAUAACUUUGCUGUGUAGUUUGUUCCUCAGUGUGAAUUCAAAUUGUUUUUUAUUA